ACAUGCAGUCGAGCGGACAGAAGGGAGCUUGCUCCCGGAUGUUAGCGGMGGACGGGUGAGUAACACGUGGGUAACCUGCCUGUAAGACUGGGAUAACUCCGGGAAACCGGAGCUAAUACCGGAUAGUUCCUUGAACCGCAUGGUUCAAGGAUGAAAGACGGUUUCGGCUGUCACUUACAGAUGGACCCGCGGCGCAUUAGCUAGUUGGUGGGGUAAUGGCUCACCAAGGCGACGAUGCGUAGCCGACCUGAGAGGGUGAUCGGCCACACUGGGACUGAGACACGGCCCAGACUCCUACGGGAGGCAGCAGUAGGGAAUCUUCCGCAAUGGACGAAAGUCUGACGGAGCAACGCCGCGUGAGUGAUGAAGGUUUUCGGAUCGUAAAGCUCUGUUGUUAGGGAAGAACAAGUGCGAGAGUAACUGCUCGCACCUUGACGGUACCUAACCAGAAAGCCACGGCUAACUACGUGCCAGCAGCCGCGGUAAUACGUAGGUGGCAAGCGUUGUCCGGAAUUAUUGGGCGUAAAGGGCUCGCAGGCGGUUUCUUAAGUCUGAUGUGAAAGCCCCCGGCUCAACCGGGGAGGGUCAUUGGAAACUGGGAAACUUGAGUGCAGAAGAGGAGAGUGGAAUUCCACGUGUAGCGGUGAAAUGCGUAGAGAUGUGGAGGAACACCAGUGGCGAAGGCGACUCUCUGGUCUGUAACUGACGCUGAGGAGCGAAAGCGUGGGGAGCGAACAGGAUUAGAUACCCUGGUAGUCCACGCCGUAAACGAUGAGUGCUAAGUGUUAGGGGGUUUCCGCCCCUUAGUGCUGCAGCUAACGCAUUAAGCACUCCGCCUGGGGAGUACGGUCGCAAGACUGAAACUCAAAGGAAUUGACGGGGGCCCGCACAAGCGGUGGAGCAUGUGGUUUAAUUCGAAGCAACGCGAAGAACCUUACCAGGUCUUGACAUCCUCUGACAACCCUAGAGAUAGGGCUUUCCCUUCGGGGACAGAGUGACAGGUGGUGCAUGGUUGUCGUCAGCUCGUGUCSUGAGAUGUUGGGUUAAGUCCCGCAACGAGCGCAACCCUUGAUCUUAGUUGCCAGCAUUUAGUUGGGCMCUCUAAGGUGACUGCCCGUGACAAACCGGAAGAAAGGUGGGAAUUANNA
rnacentral:rRNA from 1 species